AUUGCCCUACGGGGGGCAGCAGUGGGGAAUAUUGCACAAUGGGGGAAACCCUGAUGCAGCGACGCCGCGUGAAGGAAGAAGUAUUUCGGUAUGUAAACUUCUAUCAGCAGGGAAGAAAAUGACGGUACCUGAGUAAGAAGCCCCGGCUAACUACGUGCCAGCAGCCGCGGUAAUACGUAGGGGGCAAGCGUUAUCCGGAUUUACUGGGUGUAAAGGGAGCGUAGACGGUGCGCCAAGUCUGGAGUGAAAUGCCGCAGCUUAACUGCGGAACUGCUUUGGAAACUGGCGAACUAGCGUGCGGGAGG
rnacentral:rRNA from 1 species